rnacentral:piRNA from 1 species
UGCUGGACCAACCUGCCUGCUCGU